UUAAAAUUUUUUCACUCCUGGAAAAAUACACUCCAACCAACUCUGUCAACUCUUCUCACUAAGCAACAGAUGAACAAGAAAAAGGUUAUUGCAGUCACUAUCCUAAUUUUUGUGUCUAUGCUUUGUGUUUUGUUGGACAAUUUUCAUAGUAUAUUCUCUUUUCUAGUGAGACAUCUGUACUUUCAUGUGCUGUUGUUUACCCAUUGCCUGUGCAGGUUGACGUGCAGAAGUCAUCUUCUUACCAUCAGUUUUCUGUAAAUUUAAAACCCUUUCUGUGUCAGGCUAUGCUAAAUUAAAAAGUUUUGCCCUUCAGAUUAAUGUUGUGCCUGCAAGCAGAUUCCGCAAAAGAUAGAAACAGCAGUAUCCUUCUCAACAACAUCAAAGCUGCUAGUUAGGAGUCCCUAUGCAUGAUUAAGACAGACACUUGCCAAAGUUCAGCUUUUAUGGGGCCUUUCAUUUAGGAUUUCUAUUCUUCUACAUCCUUCCCACUUUGUUUUUCAGAUGAUAUAAUACUGUCACACCUACCACGGAAGGCUACAAGCAGGCUUCAGAAAUGAGGGUUGGAGGAGUUUAAUACGACCUCCAACUUAACUUCUACCUCCACUCUACUCCCCUUCAUAUGGAAUUUCCAUGGAAUUUGCAAGAGCGUGCUAAGAAACUUGUGGAAGAAGAAUUGUUAUCUCACUUCAGUGCUAGAUAUUUAGAUACUGCUAAACACAUGGAUAUUACUUUGAUUUGGAUCAUGACAGUUGGAUAGGAAACCAUCCUUGCUUGUGUUCCUUCUGCAAUUUGGGCUGGAUUUCUCUUUACUCUGGUAGAUUUCCAUCUAUGGGAGUUGCACACUUCCACUUCGAUUCAGCAGCACUUUCUGGUAAGGUCUGUGAGGCACAUUUUGCAACUAGCACGAGGCCCAGCACAAACUGGAAGUUUUCCUGAGAAACUGGGCUGCUGGAGUGAUCCCAGAACUGUAACUCUCAAAUAUUACUGAAUUCUGGAAGGCUAAUACGAGGAAAGUACCUUCCCUGUUUGCAUGUUGGCUGUUUCUUUCAGGAGAAAUGGCAUGCCAAGAAGUUGUCAGAGUUGCUGAAAUUGGUGCCUUCCUUUGCAAUAAAGGGAAAAGAAUACAGCAAGCGACUCCAGAGGAGAGGGAGGAACACAGAAGCACCUCUCUUGGAGAAAGAGGCAAGCGCCACAGCAACAAAGUUUACUGGUGCUGGUUGUACAUGAGCUUUGCCUUAUCGCGAUAUGCCAAAGCAGCAUUCGAGCAAAGGAAUCACCAGUCGUCAUCAAUUCAUCAAUCAUCAUCAAUUUGUAAAUGUGGAGGCAAAGAGAGGAGGGGAACAAGAGGCGGUGAGCCCCUCUUAAGGGACAAGAACUCAACAGUAAAAUGGAAAAUAAUGUGGCAAGCGUGUUAUCACCAUUUUUAUAGCGUUCAAUUCAAGGGACUCAAUGGAAAAAGGAAACAAUCACAGAAUCACAGGAAAAUGGAGCGUUUGUGCCCAUCGCCUCUCCACGCUAUCACUGAGUGCCAACAAGAGGCUGGCUCUGCCUUCUUUACUGUCUCUCAUCAGCAGCAGCAGGACUGCAAAAGAAGGCAAUCUGUAAUCAAAAAGAAAAGAAUCUCUCAACACCAAAAGGGACAUUGGAACUUACUGUCGUCUCAUUGCCUCUUCAAGACCAAGGCUAAAGUCACUUUUGAUGUUUGCCUGCCCCUUGACAUAUGUAUUCUGAGUGUGUAACUUCAGUCAGCAGCGAGGGCCUUCUAGGAUGUGGCCUGCACCGUUUUAGUACUGAUGUCCCUUAAAAAGAGAGAGAAAAAAAAAAAAAUCUCUCUGCAUGGGCAGUAGUGCUUUAGACAACGGCACUGGGAUCUAAUUUGAUGAAUGGGUGGUCCGCUGAAGGGGGACAUCUUGAAGAGAAGCAGCUAGACGUCAUGAUGCAGUUGUUCAUUUUGGUCAUCGCCUCUGAGGUAAGCAUCCAAGUACAGGAGGAACAAUCUAGGAGAUGUAUCAAAAAGGUAACAGGUUUGAAACAGAGGCAGGUAAAUUAAGUGCUGUCAUUCUUCCAUGUAGUUAAAGAGUGAGAGAAUUGUUGGUUAAACACGUGUAUACGAAGGUUUGAGAAAGGAUAUUGAACGGUACAAUAAUACUGAACCAGACUAAGGUUUCAUGGAAGAUGGCAUAGGUGUGUACUAGUGAUGUGCCUGCCUGUCUAAUAACCUGGCCCUAGUUGCUGUAUGUUUUGUUUCCAAAUUGUUUACCCUGUAAUGUAUGAUGUCAAGUGCUGUUAUAACACCUUUCCUUUAAGGAAAAGAAAAAAAAGAAAAAGAACAUGGUAAAGAGAAAAAGAACAUGCAUGUUCCACCUUGGAUAACUAAGGUAACUAUUGAUAACAAAUCGCUGUUAUUUCUGUCUCCCAGGGGCAGCACUGAGGACCAAGUAACCCAUUCUUACCCUUUGGAUAUUGUUAACUGUAUCUGCCUUAGUUUUGUUCUGGUUGUUUCUGUUUGGCGUUGUUAUCUUACAUACGUAUGUGAAAAGGGAAAGAUAUAAUACUUGUUAGAUUAAUUGCUAUGGCUGAAAUUGAACAGACCAGGAAAACGUAAGCAAGCUGAUGUAAUAAAAUCAAGUGGAACCAACUGAAAGCUGUCUCCAUCUCCCAAGAAGAGAAAUCCCAUUCCUCCUGUUGAGGAAAGAUCCCUAGGCAUAGUCAUCAGGAUAUCAGAUCACCAACGUGUAACAGAAGAUUAUAUGUAUGCAUCUGUAUGUGUUACGAAAAGUAUGCUGCAUACAUAUAUUUUUCUGUGUGUGACUUUAUGUAUCUCUGAAAGCUCAUAUUUUAUGAGCUACAAGACAGCAACUUAUUAUCUUAGGGGAAUGAUAGUCAAGUGACCAGAGUUCCCAAAGAGGAAGUGAGAAACAGCAGUGUCUGAAUUAUAAAAUUAAGAGGUGAAUUUCAGGAAGGCUCAAUUGGUGCAACCCCAGGUUAAUGACAUGGGAAUUGUGUUUGGGAAAACAGGAAGACAGGUAGGUAGAGGAAAUGUUAAAGCUUUGUGGAAUUAAGUUUCCUUCUCAUCAGUUCCAACUUAGGGCAAUUGCAGGAUUUAAAUUCUUGUAGCAGUGUUAAUGUAGCUUUACCGGUAUCAGCAGACCAUGGUGGGAAUUACGGGAAAGGAGUCAGGAAUGGAGCUGGAACAAGGAACAGGAUGCUGCUUUCACUAAACUGAAAGAAGCAGCUGUGAAAUCUCCAUGUCCUCAAAUUCCCAGGACAAGGCAAGCCUUUUUCAGUAAGGAUUCCCACAUCUACUGAUUCCGUGGGAGGAGCACCAUUAGAAAACAGUGGUAAGGGAAAGUGGGUGCCAGUAGCAGCAUCCCUACAUCCCCUCUGGGGCCAGAGCAAAAAUUCUCUGGCUGUGAGAAAGACUGUUUAGCAGCAAUCCGGGCUGUAACUAUCUUUGAGACUUUUACCUUUGAUGGCGUAGAUACAGUCCAGUCUGCUCAAUUCCCUCUAAACUAGCUAACGUCAGGGAAAUGAAUAGGCAGCAGAGUAUCCUCUGUCCAGGUGGCACAGUGGGCACUGAUCUUAACAAGGGGGGAGUUACAGUGCAAGUGUACCAAGAAGCGGAUCAUCUUCUGUGCAUCUGAAUUGAAUGAGGGGUAGAGCGCGGUUGUGCCAAAAAUGUGGACACAGAAGGCUUCUGAAAGAUUAAGCUCUAGGAGCUACUUAGUCUAACUUCCCUUUCACAGCAACCCAAGUGUCCUCAUGGCUUCCAAAAGGGGAGUUGGGGGAAGCGGUAUUUGUGGCUUGCCUGUGCUCGUUUGCUUUGCUUGUGUGUAUAUUAGAUCUGCUUUUGUGCAUAUAAACGGGUUUGUCUUAUGAUUUUCUGCAGAGCUCUGAUUUUUUU